GCAGAGAGGGAAGGGGACAUGCUUUAUGCCAGGGGCUUUAACUAGCUCACUAAUUCCAGCUCUAUAGCUUCAUAGGUGGGUGUAAUGAGCUUCCGUGAGAGUGGAGUCAUUGAAAUGGAUCCGCUUUGCUCUGCUCAAGGCUGUAACUAUGACCUAUGAGUCCAGCCUGGGCCACCAUCCAGAGUGUAAUACUCCGUGAUACUUGAAAUUGCACAAAAUCCAAUGUCCGUGUUUGGGAGUGCAUUUUUAUUAGAAUAUAGCCAAAGCUGGUUUUCCACGGGUUUCUCUUUGCAGUAGAUCUGGAAUAUUCCUCGGAAGCCCAUAUUUUAAAAUCUUGCCUCCCAGUGCAUCCUGCCAAAGGGUGGUGAUGCUGGAACUGUUAGGAGCUUAGUGGGAGCUGUCAGGUCACCGGGGCGUAUUCUAGAAGACGCUUGGGGGACCCUGGUGUCCUCCUUUUGAUCCCAUUUUUGAAUCGUGCCAUGGGGUGAGAGUCUUCACUACAACAUGGUCUCCAUCCACAGCGUGUUGGGUCGCCACAAGCCCAAAGCAAUGACGUCAGCCAGCCAUGGACUGAAACCUUCCUGAACUGAUCCUCAUCUGGAUGUGCUGUGGGCAUGAAGGAACUGGUGCAGAAACAUGGAGAGGGAAGCGAUGGGCAAGAGAGACUCUGGAGCUGAAGACAUGGUCCAUGGCAAUCUAGGAGGACAGCCUGGCAGCAGCUUCUUCCAAAGGCCUGGGAGGGAUGGAAGGGACCCAUGGCGCCAUGGCUUCCUGGUGAAACUCUUCUCUCUAACUUGGUCUUUUGACUGUCACCCUGUCCUGGCUCCGUGUCAACUUGACAUAAGCUAGAGUCAUCUACAAAGAGGAGUUCUCAGUUGAGAAAAGGCCUCUACAGGUCUCUGCCACAGAGGCAUUCUCAGAAGCCAUGUUCCCGAGGGCUCUGUCCCUGCUGCAGACUCAGGCCAAUAGACACUCAGCCCCACAGCGAUCCCCUGCUUCAGGCCCACCCUGAGCUUCUCUGUUCCAGGAAUGGAGGCUAUUCAGGAGGAAGUCACCGGUGUGUCUCAAGUUUCUCAGUAGUCGAGUUUACAAAGUUAGCAAGUGGCAGCUUCCUUACAGAGCAUCUCUGCUUUACUCGACAUAUCGAGGGACCCUGUAUUCCACGCAGCUGUCCCCUGGUCCUUGGAGACACACCCCAGGGCCCCUGAACCACAGCUAACGAACCUCUUAUCUACCGUUUCCCCAUGUGCAUUCUGAUUUUAGUAUAUGUGCUGCCGAAGCGAGCACCCCCAUGUGCAUUCUGAUCUAGUCCAAUUUGUCAAAUAAGCCACAAACUGAACUGUAAUAAUGGCGCACAGUGCCACUGAGGUCAUGCUCCCCCCCCACAAAGAUCUUGUUGGCUCUACAACUUUCUAACCGACACUGCCAGCUGGGGACAAGUUGUUCAAAGACAUGAGUCUCUGGGAGACAUUUUUCUUCCAAACCACAAUGGAAGUCACCUCAUCCAAGCCAGGUUCAGACUCCCUCAGUCUCAUCUUCUAGAAAGAUCUCUAGGGACACGGAGGGGGCAGAGCUCAGAUUUGAAGGGUGUUUGUGUCUUCUGUUGGCUAAUGUGCAGACGGAGUGCAUUGCUCAAUGUAAAAGCAAAUCUUCUUCCUGAGAUGAUUACCCAUCCCAAACCAUACCUGGUCUGUAGAAGGCUGCCGCUACUCCCAGCGGUUAAAUCGAGAUGUUCCAGAAAAUGCAUAUUGAGCGUGGGCUGUCUUCACUCUCCCACACUGCAGAUCGUGUGUGGAGUUUUCCUCCUUCCUUCGUCUUUUCAGAGGCAAAGAGGCUCCUGUGGCAUCCCUCCAGCAAGCGCAAAGUCUAGCAACGGGAUGGCAGCUUGCAGGGUCAUUAUUGAGUAACGGAAGGGUUGCUUACCCACAAGCCCUGUGAUGUCCACUAUAUGACUAGUGGGAAGGUAGCAUAUACCUCAGGGACACAUUGGAGAGAGGAAGGAUUCCCAUUAUGGAAGAUUCCCAGGAGAUUUCCUGAAGCUACUUAAAGUAGGACAUGUGUGGAAACACGGGAGUCAUUCAUUUUCUUACACACGGAGGGGCUAUUGUCACUAGAUAAAUAUGGUG